GGGAUUUUAUUGUUGUCGUUGAUCUUUGGUCUCCAACAUAACGAUGCAAGUUUUAAUACUCAAUAAGUGUACCCAGGCAACUGAUCGAAGCCGUUUUGUAAUACAGUAUAUAGAAAAACUAUGACAAACUCGUACAUGGCUGGUCUAAACAUGAAGGGAAAACGGGGAAAGAAAGCUUUUGGUUCCUCCCAACUCUACCUCCUUAUAAAAGAAACUGUAUUGACAUCUCAUACACAGUAUACAGAAUCAAAAUUCAAUGAAGAUUUGGCUAAAUUCCUAAAAUAUGCCCCGGAGCGUGUGGGAGGAGGUGGAAGAAGGAGAAGAGAUUGACUGUUUUUCACGUUCACUUGACCAGAACUAAUGAUUUUACUCUUUUUCAUCUUCUUAAACUAAUGUUUUUGUGAAAAGCUGGCUACAGAUGUGAGCUAGGUUAUCCAUCAGUGAUUUUAAGUGAUACUUUCAAUUUAUUUAACUGUUUCUCUCUUGAAUAAAUUGAUUAAUGAUAUUU
rnacentral:sRNA from 1 species